rnacentral:rRNA from 1 species
AACGAACGCUGGCGGCAUGCCUAACACAUGCAAGUCGAACGAGACCUUCGGGUCUAGUGGCGCACGGGUGCGUAACGCGUGGGAACCUGCCCUUAGGUUCGGAAUAACUCCCCGAAAGGGGUGCUAAUACCGGAUAAUGUCUUCGGACCAAAGAUUUAUCGCCUUUGGAUGGGCCCGCGUUGGAUUAGCUAGUUGGUAGGGUAAAAGCCCACCAAGGCGACGAUCCAUAGCUGGUCUGAGAGGAUGAUCAGCCACACUGGGACUGAGACACGGCCCAGACUCCUACGGGAGGCAGCAGUGGGGAAUAUUGGGCAAUGGGCGAAAGCCUGAUCCAGCAAUGCCGCGUGAGUGAUGAAGGCCUUAGGGUUGUAAAGCUCUUUUACCCGGGAUGAUAAUGACAGUACCGGGAGAAUAAGCUCCGGCUAACUCCGUG